CAGCCGCCGCGGGAAUACGGAGGGUGCAAACGUUGCUCGGAAUCAUUGGGCGUAAAGCGCACGUAGGCGGCCCGCUAAGUCGGAUGUGAAAGCCCUGGGCUCAACCCAGGAAGUGCAUUCGAAACUGGCAGGCUUGAAUAUGGAAGAGGGUCGCGGAAUUCCCGGUGUAGAGGUGAAAUUCGUAGAUAUCGGGAGGAACACCAGUGGCGAAGGCGGCGACCUGGGCCAAUAUUGACGCUGAGGUGCGAAAGCGUGGGGAGCAAACAGGAUUAGAUACCCCUGUAGUCCCUGUCUCUUAUAC
rnacentral:rRNA from 1 species